rnacentral:rRNA from 1 species
GCAAGUCGAGGGGUAGAGUUCUUCGGAGCUUGAGACCGGCGCACGGGUGCGUAACGCGUAUGCAAUCUACCUUUUACAGAGGGAUAGCCCAGAGAAAUUUGGAUUAAUACCUCAUAGUAUAUCACAAUCGCAUGAUUGAGUUAUUAAAGUCACAACGGUAAAAGAUGAGCAUGCGUCCCAUUAGCUAGUUGGUAAGGUAACGGCUUACCAAGGCUACGAUGGGUAGGGGUCCUGAGAGGGAGAUCCCCCACACUGGUACUGAGACACGGACCAGACUCCUACGGGAGGCAGCAGUGAGGAAUAUUGGACAAUGGGCGCAAGCCUGAUCCAGCCAUGCCGCGUGCAGGAUGACGGUCCUAUGGAUUGUAAACUGCUUUUAUACGAGAAGAAACACUCCGACGUGUCGGAGCUUGACGGUAUCGUAAGAAUAAGGAUCGGCUAACUCCGUGCCAGCAGCCGCGGUAAUACGGAGGAUCCAAGCGUUAUCCGGAAUCAUUGGGUUUAAAGGGUCCGUAGGCGGUUUGGUAAGUCAGUGGUGAAAGCCCAUCGCUCAACGGUGGAACGGCCAUUGAUACUGCCAGACUUGAAUUAUUAGGAAGUAACUAGAAUAUGUAGUGUAGCGGUGAAAUGCUUAGAGAUUACAUGGAAUACCAAUUGCGAAGGCAGGUUACUACUAAUUGAUUGACGCUGAUGGACGAAAGCGUGGGUAGCGAACAGGAUUAGAUACCCUGGUAGUCCACGCCGUAAACGAUGGAUACUAGCUGUUGGGAGCAAUCUCAGUGGCUAAGCGAAAGUGAUAAGUAUCCCACCUGGGGAGUACGUUCGCAAGAAUGAAACUCAAAGGAAUUGACGGGGGCCCGCACAAGCGGUGGAGCAUGUGGUUUAAUUCGAUGAUACGCGAGGAACCUUACCAAGGCUUAAAUGUAGAUUGACCGGUUUGGAAACAGAUCUUUCGCAAGACAAUUUACAAGGUGCUGCAUGGUUGUCGUCAGCUCGUGCCGUG